UAUAUAGAACAAGAACAAGGGGAAAAUUCUAAUGAUCGCAACGAUAGAGCCAUCAGAGUAGCAGUAAAGUGGUACAAUGAACAUCUGGCAAAGUUACAAACUGAAGAAAAGAUUAAAGUUAUCUUGCUCACCAAUGACAGAAAAAAUAAAAAUAAAGCCGUGGAAGAGGGAAUAACUGCUUAUACAUGCGAAGAAUACAUAAAGAGCUUAAUAGCUAAUCCUGAGCUUGUAGAUCGUCUUGCUUGCUUAAAUGAUGAAGGGAAUGAGAUAGAAAGUGGAAGGAUUAUUUUCUCAGAGCAUCUUCCUCUUAGCAAAUUGCAGCAGGGUA